CAAAAUCUCAAGCCUCCUAAGAAGUUUGGUGUUGGGCUAUCAUAUCUGCCUUUUUUGUGGUGGUUAUGUGCCUGAAAAUCAGUGGCGGUGCCUAAAUGGCCUCAAGCAUAGUGGACACUCUUGCUUUGGAGGCUCCAUUUUCAGGCUUGCUUGCCUUCUUUUUAAUUUCAAAAAAAAAAG
rnacentral:misc_RNA from 1 species